GACGAACGCUGGCGGCGUGCUUAACACAUGCAAGUCGAGUGGAGCGGCGAACGGGUGAGUAACGCGCGAGUAACUGCCCCCCCCCCUGGGAUACCAGUUGGAAACCGCUGCUAAAACCGGUUAGUGGGGGAUGACUCGGGUCCUAUUAGCUUGUUGGUGGGGCCGUGGCCUUCCAAGGCGACGACGGGGAGCCGGCCUGCGGGGGCGACUGGCCACAUUGGGCUGGGAUAAGGCCCCAACUCCUACGGGCAGGAGCAGUGGGGAAUAUUGCGCAAUGGGGGAAACCCUGAUGCAGCGACGCCGCGUGCGGGAUGACGGGCUUCGGGUUGUAAACCGCUUUCAGCCAUGGCGCGGUAGUGGCAGAAGAAGCGACGGCUAACUACGUGCCAGCAGCCGCGGUAAUAC
rnacentral:rRNA from 1 species